rnacentral:tRNA from 1 species
ACUUAUAUAGUAUAAAUAUUACAUUUAACUUCCAAUUAAAAAAUCUAUAAAAUAGUUUAAGUA